GACGAACGCUGGCGGCGUGCCUAAUACAUGCAAGUUGAGCGCUGAAGGUUGGUACUUGUACCAACUGGAUGAGCAGCGAACGGGUGAGUAACGCGUGGGGAAUCUGCCUUUGAGCGGGGGACAACAUUUGGAAACGAAUGCUAAUACCGCAUAAAAACUUUAAACACAAGUUUUAAGUUUGAAAGAUGCAAUUGCAUCACUCAAAGAUGAUCCCGCGUUGUAUUAGCUAGUUGGUGAGGUAAAGGCUCACCAAGGCGAUGAUACAUAGCCGACCUGAGAGGGUGAUCGGCCACAUUGGGACUGAGACACGGCCCAAACUCCUACGGGAGGCAGCAGUAGGGAAACUUCGGCAAUGGACGAAAGUCUGACCGAGCAACGCCGCGUGAGUGAAGAAGGAUUUCGGAUCGUAAAACUCUGUUGGUAGAGAAGAACGUUGGUGAGAGUGGAAAGCUCAUCAAGUGACGGUAACUACCCAGAAAGGGACGGCUAACUACGUG
rnacentral:rRNA from 1 species